UAAUAGGAUCACCUACACUUAAG
rnacentral:snRNA from 1 species